AUUGAACGCUGGCGGCAUGCUUUACACAUGCAAGUCGAACGGCAGCGCGGGCUUCGGCCUGGCGGCGAGUGGCGAACGGGUGAGUAAUGCAUCGGAACGUGCCCAGUAGUGGGGGAUAGCCCGGCGAAAGCCGGAUUAAUACCGCAUACGACCUGAGGGUGAAAGCGGGGGACCGAAAGGCCUCGCGCUAUUGGAGCGGCCGAUGUCGGAUUAGCUAGUUGGUGGGGUAAAGGCUUACCAAGGCGACGAUCCGUAGCUGGUCUGAGAGGACGACCAGCCAAACUGGGACUGAAACACGGCCCAACCCCCCACGGGAGGCCGCGGGGGGGAAUUUGGGACAAGGGGGGAAACCCUGUCCCAGCCAUGCCGGGGGGGGGAAAAAGGCCUUCGGGUUGAAAACCGCUUUUGUUCGGGAAGAAAUCCUCUGGGCUAAAACCCCGGGGGGAUGACGGUACCGAAAAAAUAAGCACCGGCUAACUACGG
rnacentral:rRNA from 1 species